GUGAACGCUGGCGGUAGACCUAACACAUGCAAGUCGAACGGCAGCACAGUAAGAGCUUGCUCUUACGGGUGGCGAGUGGCGGACGGGUGAGGAAUACAUCGGAAUCUACUUUUUCGUGGGGGAUAACGUAGGGAAACUUACGCUAAUACCGCAUACGACCUACGGGUGAAAGCAGGGGAUCUUCGGACCUUGCGCGAUUGAAUGAGCCGAUGUCGGAUUAGCUAGUUGGCGGGGUAAAGGCCCACCAAGGCGACGAUCCGUAGCUGGUCUGAGAGGAUGAUCAGCCACACUGGAACUGAGACACGGUCCAGACUCCUACGGGAGGCAGCAGUGGGGAAUAUUGGACAAUGGGCGCAAGCCUGAUCCAGCCAUACCGCGUGGGUGAAGAAGGCCUUCGGGUUGUAAAGCCCUUUUGUUGGGAAAGAAAAGCAGCAGGUUAAUACCCCGCUGUUCUGACGGUACCCAAAGAAUAAGCACCGGCUAACUUCGUG
rnacentral:rRNA from 1 species